UCUAUAUAUAUGAAAAUGAACGUUGUCUGUCUGUAUGUCUGUACUCGAUGGAUUCAAAAAUCAUACAUCCAAUCACUGUGAAAAUUUGAGAAAUUAUUAGGUAAUUCCGGGAAAGCUUUCUGGAAAUUUUUAUUAAAAUCAGAGUUGGGGUUCUAGGUUCAUUUAAUUAGUAAUAUUUUGGUGAAAGUGUAUUCUGCAACAUAAUUUCCAAUAUCAUUUAAAACAAUCUAGCAAUCCUCGAGAAGAAGAAAUAUAUUGUGAGAAGUCAGUUUGGUUUUUACAUUCGUACAGUGUGUGUUUUAGUUUAGUUUUGAGUAAAUAUAUUAAGUGAAAUAGAAUCAUUUAUUUAAUUUAAUUUAUUAAAAUCAGAGGGAAAUACGUUUUAUUUAACACCAUAAUUAUGCCACCAAAGCGAAGUAUCAUUGGUCGAACUACAAAUCAAGCAAAAAGGAGAAGAGAAGAAUGAGCUUCAGAAACAAGUGAGCAGAGAAAAACUAGGCAAGAAAGAGAUCAAGUUCACACUGCUCUUGCUUGAUUAUUAGAAACGAGUGAGCAGAGGCAAACAAAAUAAGAAAGAGAUCGAGUUCACACUGCUCCUGCUCUAUCAUUAGAAACGAGUGAGCAGAGGCAAGCAAGGCAAGAAAGAUAUCGAGUUUACACUGCUCUUGCUCGUUCAUUAGAAACGAGUGAACAGAGGCAAGCAAUUCAAGAGAGAGAUCGAGUUCACACUGCUUUUGCUCGAUCAUUGGAAACGAGUGAACAGAGGCAAGCAAGGCUGCAAAGGAAUCGAAUUCGAACGAUACAUACUGAUUUGAAUUUAUGUGGUUUCCAUUACAAUCCCCUUUACAAUUACAGUCUUCAUUCAAGUGUAAUUAUUAGAAAAAUGGAUAGAAAGUGAAAUAUCGGUAAACAAAUAAAAGGAGGAUAUCUCUUGCGCUAUAAAAAGCAACUUCUCUGGAAUCGCUGGUCAGAAGAAUGGGUUGUUUUAUAUGACGAUUCUACUAUGGCCUGGUUUACAGAACCAGGCAGGUCCUCUCCUGCUGGUAAAAUACUAGUUAAGGA